rnacentral:rRNA from 1 species
CUUGCCAUCGGAUGUGCCCAGAUGGGAUUAGCUAGUAGGUGGGGUAACGGCUCACCUAGGCGACGAUCCCUAGCUGGUCUGAGAGGAUGACCAGCCACACUGGAACUGAGACACGGUCCAGACUCCUACGGGAGGCAGCAGUGGGGAAUAUUGCACAAUGGGCGCAAGCCUGAUGCAGCCAUGCCGCGUGUAUGAAGAAAGCCUUCGGGUUGUAAAGUACUUUCAGCGAGGAGGAAGGCGUUGUGGUUAAUAACCACAGCGAUUGACGUUACUCGCAGAAGAAGCACCGGCUAACUCCGUGCCAGCAGCCGCGGUAAUACGGAGGGUGCAAGCGUUAAUCGGAAUUACUGGGCGUAAAGCGCACGCAGGCGGUCUGUCAAGUCGGAUGUGAAAUCCCCGGGCUCAACCUGGGAACUGCAUCCGAAACUGGCAGGCUAGAGUCUUGUAGAGGGGGGUAGAAUUCCAGGUGUAGCGGUGAAAUGCGUAUAGAUCUGGAGGAAUACCGGUGGCGAAAGCGGCCCCCUGGACAAAGACUGACGCUCAGGUGCGAAAGCGUGUGGAGCAAACAGGAUUAGAUACCCUGGUAGUCCACGCCGUAAACGAUGUCUACUUGUAGGUUGUGCCCUUGAGGCGUGGCUUCCGGAGCUAACACGUUAAGUCGACCGCCUGGGGAGU